UAUCGACUGCCCUAGCAGACAAGCCAAGACGAUAGAUAUAAUUUUUAAGGAGAAGAAAAUG
rnacentral:ncRNA from 1 species